rnacentral:lncRNA from 1 species
CUGAGUCCAAGUCUCUCACUCAUGAGGAGGUCCAGAGAUGGGAGUGGGCUGGCUGAGGUCACACGGAGCCCUGAGAUCUGGAUAAGGGGUCAUGGGAGGGAGCCUGAGGUUGAGGCUCCUGGGUGAGAGGAAGAGGUAGAGACGCACGUUAAAGUUCAAGUUCACAUGUGACUGCUUUCAGCUCCUGCCUCCCUGCUCCUCUUGUAGUCUAAUCAGUUGCUGCUUUUCAACCUGAGUCAUUUUCUCACGAUGCACCAAGAAGGUAAGGCAGAGAUCAUGCCCCACUCAGCUUCUGAGCUGCACCUGGGGGACCCCCACUUCCUCAGCCCCACACCUUGGAAGGUGCAGAGGCCUUGGUGGUUUCCUGCUCUAAAUGCCAGUCUCACCAUCCUAACAGCAGAGGUAGGAGUGGCCACGUUAUGACAACCUGCAUUCUGCUCACAUGAGGUAAUGUCUUAUGCACAAACCACUGAGAGCUCAGAAUGAUGUGCCCAUUUCUAGAUGGGAGACACUGAACAAAACCAAAGAGAUCUGUCUAAGGUCACUAGGUCUGGGGGCAGAGACAGGACUGUCAGGCAGGUGGUGUCUGAGGCUCACAGCUCAGCUCUGUGGCCCCAGUUAUGAAUUCUGACUCAGGGCUGGGGCCCAGGCAUCUGUUUCUCUUGUAACAGCCCCAGAUAUGGAUCUCCUUUUCCCAGCUCUUCUGGCAGGG